UACGAAGGGUGCAAGCGUUAAUCGGAAUUACUGGGCGUAAAGCGUGCGUAGGUGGUUUGUUAAGUCUGCUGUGAAAGCCCUGGGCUCAACCUGGGAAUGGCGGUGGAUACUGACAAGCUAGAGUGCGGUAGAGGAGGGUGGAAUUCCCGGUGUAGCGGUGAAAUGCGUAGAGAUCGGGAGGAACACCGGUGGCGAAGGCGACCAUCUGGACGGAUACUGACGCUGAGACGCGAAAGCGUGGGUAGCAAACAGG
rnacentral:rRNA from 1 species